GAUUGAGAUCUUCCCUGUCGUUUAGAAGAGGGUGCUGGGAGUGCUGUGAGCAGAGAGGAAAAACAGAAUCAAGCGGAGGGCAAUAGAAUUCCAGAGCUGCAUAUCCCUUUGGACCUGAUGGAUAAAGAAAGGAGCCAUAUGCCUCUUAGUCAUAAAAAGAGAACAUUCGAAGGACCAUUCAAGCAAAUACGUCUAAGCCACUGAGAUAUUGUUAAUUGGCGAAGACAGAUGCAGAGAGGAGCUCAGACAGAAGGAGCUGAGAUUUUCUAUUCCUCAUCUGAAGGUGCCUGGGUUCCAGGAGAUCCACCCCGGAAACCUGGCCAAUUAGCUGUCGAUGUCGCUCAAGAUCAAAACACCACCUGUGAGUUUUUAUAGUCUAGCAGACACUCAUAUUUUCUAAUUAUGAUCUGUUGUUGGAGGGUGAGAGUAAUAAACCCACAUGCAGCAGAGAGGGUUGGCUGUGGAUCCUGAGGCAACAGUUUAUCAUCAUUAGCCGAGUUGAAAAGGCAGGUACCAAGAAAACUUGGAAGGUCUCCUGCAGAAUUAGUGAGGAUGCCUGCCAAGCUCAGGCACUCUGACUUCUGCACACCUUUCUCUAGGCCGCCUGCAGCCAAUUCUCUCAUACUUUGUGCAGGUCAUACCCACCCCCCUCCGGCAACUUUCUUCAUCGCUGCUUGUCUCCUGAUAACAGCUGUUAUUAUUUAGUGACAGAGUGAAUGAUUGGGAAGAAUACAUAUAAUAGGGGAUUUUAGUGACUCUUUUCUCCCCUCCUAACCUAUGACAAAGGAGCCAGCACUAUGUUGCUAAAUUUCUGAAUUUUCUAAAACUGCAAGUGAGGUGUGAUUGAUUGAGUUUGUUUCUAUGUCUCUGAGGCUGUUUCUGUUUUGUAUAUAGAUUCACUUGCAUUUUUUUAUUGCACCUAUAAGCGAUAUCAUAUAAUAUCUGUCUUUCUCUGACUUAUUUCACUAGCAUAUUAUUCUCUAGGAGCUUUUAACGUUUGGAUCUGUUCAGGAGGAUUAACUGUUGGUUUCUCACUGGAGGAGGGGGAUGUGGCCAGUGUUUGUUUGGGCAGAGUUAAAGUGGCCUCUGUGACUAAGUACAUGGUCAAGGCUCUCCUACAUCUCAGUGGAGAGAGGGAGGAUGUGGAAUCAGAGUCUAGGGGGAUAACUCCUAGGAGAUGCAUCCUUGAGCUUGGUCAGGCCAGCCAUGCUUGGGAGGACAAACUGAAAUACUUGAUAAGCUCAAAAUACCCCAACAGUGGUACCAGUGUGGAAGAAUUUGAGAGAGAAGACAUUUAUUUAUUUACUUAUUUUAAUACAUAAAGAAAAAAUAUCUACUUGGAACAUUAGAACUGUGGUUUUAUAGCUAUUUCUUUUUUAUACUAAGUAGGUUGAUUUUAAGAAUAUUUCAGGGAAAUAAGAUAGGAGGUCCCUAGACAUGUAAACGGCUCAAGUGGGGAAAUACUGAGUAUUCCAGGGGCACAAUUAUAGAGGUGACAGCCACCAAGACCUGGACUCUCUCCCAGUAUUUCAGCCACAAAUUCCUAGGAUUCUUCUAUAAUACCAGGAGGUAGAGGGGCCAAACAUUUACUGAAGAAUUGAAUUUCUCUCUAACCAGGUAGAUGGAGACUUAGAGCAGAUAUAAUCUGAUUUAGAAAAGUAAAGCAUGUGUGUUGGGUAUUCUCCAUGUUCUUCUACUAAUUUUUUCUGUCCUCUCUCAGCCUUGCUCUACAGCCUGUGUGGCUAUAUCCACAGGCUGCAUGGCUCUCUGGCUUUAAUUGGCUUCAUCCUGUGCCAGAUUUAGGUGGAAAGAGAGAGAGGUCCCCAGGACAUAGUGAUGCCCUCCUUAAGUUCUGUGCCUCCUCUGGAUCCUGAGUUCACCCAUAGGAUGGAGGAGAGUGAGGAUCGGGUAUUUAUUCUCCCACUCUGGCUACUGGGUUGCUCAGGGCUGGUUGUGCUCUUUCAUGGAGGCAAUGGUUCCUAUUGGGUAGGGCUCUCCAAAAAGGGUCUUUCUCCAGGUUCCCCGAAGCGUGGUCCUCUUACUCCUUUUAAGUGUGUAAGUGAGAUGGAGUGGGAGCUGGGAAAAAGACCUGGGGGUAAUAGCUGGUUCUUUGCUAGAGACUUAAGAUACUGUAUCAUUUUUUUUUUUUUUUGUUAUUACCCUGGAGAUCUCCACUCUUCAUCAUUACAACCCUGUACUACUGUAUGCUUCUUUUUAAGGGACUAAAUCCUGACCACACCUUUGUAAAUGGUCCCUUUAUUAAAGUCACCCAUUUGCUUAUGUAAGUGUGCCUCUGUUUCUCCUGGGACCCAAAUGUGACAUAGCGUGUAACUUGUCUUUAUCCCUAGAGCUCUGGUCCAAAAUUCAACUCUUUUACAUUUAACAAAUGAAAUUGUUUCCUUAGUAUUUGUCUUCUCCACAAAGUUUUCUGGCUCCCUUAGUUAAGCAGGGCCACUAUUUGAGUUGUUACCAGUGUGUCUACAGAGCCUAGCAAGGUGCUCAGCAUAUAAUAGGUGCUCAAUAAAUGCUUACUAACUGAUUUACUCUCCCAGGAAAAUCUAGGUCACAAUUUCCCCAUUUAAGAAAAAGAUCAAGGUUUAUUGGAUACCUGGUUUUUUUUUUUUUUUUUGAAUAGAGCAAAAGUUUUGCAGUAGAGGAAUAGAUUGAGAAAAGAGAGAUGAAUUUGUUUUCUGUCCCUGCCUCUACAAUAUAUCAUGGAUUUCCCUUGAGCCCUUUACUUUUUCCUCUAUCCUUUCUUAGCUGUCAACACCCCUGUCUGGUAGAUGUGUAGCAAAGCAGCUUCCAGUAAGCAAACUUC
rnacentral:lncRNA from 1 species